CCAUGAUUUUUUCCCGACACUCGGUGACAGUCUUAUCACCCACUCGAGCAUAUAUUCUGGCACCGUGUACUCGUUACCCAUAAGUUCGAGCGACUGAUACUCUAUGGUAACGGCACCCAGGAACUCGGUGUUUAAUAUGACUCGACCAUGGACAUCAAAUGAUUUUGGAUGUCUUUGAGCUCGAUCUCGCAGCAUGUCUAUGGCCAGGUUGAUAUGCUGCAGCAGGAAAGACAAAAAAAGUAUGAGUUAUUCAUUUAAUAAACAUAAGGUCACAUAUAAAUAAAAAACACGAAAUGAAUAGUUCACUUACAUCGUCAGCGAGCCAAGCUCCCGCAGUGGUGAUAUCGUGGAACCACUUGUAAGGGUCCGAGACCGUCCUUUGACCUAUCGUGCGGCUAACUC
rnacentral:lncRNA from 1 species